GGAAGGUAUGAAAAUGGAUUAUCUCUACGUUUGAUGAUGUCAAAAUCUUUUAACCAUAUUCCUGUAGUAAUAAAUUUAUCUUUUACGUGAAAAACAAAAAGAAAAAAAUCCUUGAUUGCGUUUACCGGCCCGACAGCCUGUCGUUGAGUCGUCGUAGAAAUUAAUACUUGUCCUUGUUGAAGUCAUGGCUACCAUCGCAUUCCUGCUUUCAAAGGUCUGCCACUCACAAAAGAGUAACAGUUGAUCUCUCUGAGCUCUUUCCUUUUCCAAACAGCUUCCCAUCAGUACCACUUCAAAACAGCUUUCCCAUGGAGUUUCAAAACAGUCAUUUCACUAAUCUCGUUGCCACCACAGGUGUUUUGUUUUGGUUUUCAUGUGUGGAUAAGACCCUGAAACGGCCCUUUACAAUGGUCUAUGGCAUGCAUGUGCUGGUCCUUUGGUGACAGUUCCUAGGGAAGGAGAACGUGUUUUCUACUUUCCUCAAGGACACUUAGAACAGGUUGAGGCCUCUACUAAUCAAGUAAUUGACCUGCCAAUGUACGAUCUUCCUUCCGAGAUCCUUUGCCGUGUGAUUAACAUCCAAUUAAAGGCUGAACCUUGUUUGCGCAAGUAACUUUACUUCCUGAACCAAUCGUCAGUCCAGUCGCUUUUUCUCUCUGUUCCGAGUUCCUUGUACAUUUCUCUUGUAAAACCCUGACUCCCUUUGAUACAAGCAUCUAUGGCGGAUUUUCACUGCUCAAGCGUCAAGCUGAUGAAUGUUUCCCACCUUUGGACUUGUCAAUGCAACAUCCAAAACAGGAGUUGGUUGCCAUGGAUUUGCACGGGAAUUGGUGUCGUUUUGAGCAUGUUUUCAAGGGUAAUGCUUUAAACCUGAAUAAUAAGCUUUAUAUUCGUAUUUGGUUCACUUGAAGAUAGGGUCAACCACAAAGGCACUUGCUUGUAAGAGGUUGGAGGGAUUUUGUCAGCUCCAAGAGGCCUGCUGUUGGGGAUGCAAUUGUCUGUUUAAGAAGCGAGAAUGGACAACUAUGUGUUGGUUUACGGCGAGCAAUGAGGCCACAGGGCGAUAUUCCUUCUUCUACAAGUUCAAGUCCUGAAAUGUCUCCCGAUGUGCAUGCAAUUGCAUGGGAGACCUACACAAGAAGAACCCUAUUCACCAUAUAUUACAAACCAAGGUUUCUUUUAUUGCAAUUCAUUGAAGCUUUUUGUUUUACCAAUUUUUAACUACAGAUAUUCUUGUGAAUUUUCAAUAUCAGGACAUGCCCAGCAGAUUUUAUUGUUCCAUUUGAUCAGUUCAUGGAAUCAAUGAGGAUCAUUUACUCAAUAGGGAUGAGAUUCCAAAUGAGAUUUGAAAGUGAAUAACCUCUUGACCAUAGGUAUGGCUGUAGACACACAUUUUAGUUCGAACCCAAUGGGACCCAUUUUGGUCCAAAUUUAAUCAGGUUCAUUUGAUUCGAGCCUAAUAGGUCCCAUUCUGAUCUGAGUCCAAUUAUGCUCAUUUUGGUUUGGGCCCAACCCAAAUCCAUUUUCGUCAAGCCCAUUUUGGUUCGGGCUCAUUUUGGUCCAUCUAGGUCCAAUUAGAUGUUUUUAUCAUUAUUAUUAUUUUAUUUUUUACUUUUUAUUUUUCGUUUCCUUUUCUAUUCUUUGAUUGCAAGAUAAUUAGGAUUAGAAUUCUAGGACAAAACUUUGAUUGCAAAUCAUGUCAAUGACUGGAAUUUUGGACUCAAAAAUCUUGUUGGACAAAAUGCAAUCCCAGGAUCAAGCCUGAGAUUGAUUCUAUCCGUUUUUUGAAUUGAUCAUAGGCUGUUUAUAAAUUGGACUAAUUCUAUAAAACAAGGACACACAGAGAGACACACACAAACCAUAAAGAAAAUUGUUGGGAAAUUCUGGGAAAAGUCUAGUAGUAAAGGUUUCUGGGAUUCGAAAAUUGAGAUUUUAGAUUUGAUUUGGAGUUUUGGUGGGAUUUUAGGUUUCUGAAGGUGAUUUUAAAGUCGUAAGAGUAUCAGGAAGAGUUUAAGAUGAUUUAGGAAUUUUUUUGAAUUUUUUUAGAUUUUUUUUUGGUUCUUUUAGGUUUUUUGAAGAACUUUAAAUUUUUCGACGAAAGAUGAAGUUUCUGAUGAGAUUCCGACAAUGUUUCCAGAAUCCAGUAAGCUUUUCAAAAACUUACGGGUUUUUUAGUUUUCGGUUGAAUUUUCAGGUGAAGUUUUCAGAAACCGGUGGGAUUUUCAAUUUUCGAUUGAACUUUUUGGCAGGUCUAAGGAGAUUUCUAGAUAGAAAAAGGAGCGUCUGGGGUUAGAGAGAGAGAGGCUCUAGGGUUUUUGAGGAAAAAACGUUGAAGGGUGCCUUAUAUACUGCUUUAACACCAUAUCAUUUUGGUAACCAAGAUCCAUGUGUCGGCUCGAAGAUCCUCGCACUGACUCACGUUUUGACCCGAC